CAGCUCCAAACUGCCCUGGUUCUCGUGGAAAGUACCUACAGAGGCACUGUCCCUGUUCCACUAGGAUUGGAACUGCAGAGAUGUCAAAGGAGAGCUCAUCGAAAUGAAAGAAACUUCAACAUCAGAGCCUUGGGAAUGUAUGUCUACACUUUGAGGUGGAUAAUGAGGAGCCUCACACUCAUAGGCAAGUGGGCGAUGGCAACAGACCCUCUCCUUCCUCCAUGGAAGACUGGAGAGUCCCUCAGGUGAACAAGGAACCGACAUUCCACUCUGGGCAUUGGGGAAUAUUCUCUUGUCUCCAGCCUGCCAAUCCUGACUACAGGCCCCUCCAGGCCUCUUUUCCUCACAACCCACCCCCAUCUCUUGCCAGUGUGGGUUGCUCAGAUCCACCAAGAAACCGUCAGCAUUUUGCUUUCUUUCUUUCUCCAGCAUAAACUUGACUCAACUCA